CCUACGGGAGGCAGCAGUGGGGAAUAUUGGACAAUGGGGGCAACCCUGAUCCAGCCAUGCCGCGUGUGUGAAGAAGGCCCUCGGGUUGUAAAGCACUUUCAGUGAGGAAGAACGCCUGGUGGUUAAUACCCAUCAGGAAAGACAUCACUCACAGAAGAAGCACCGGCUAACUCCGUGCCAGCAGCCGCGGUAAUACGGAGGGUGCGAGCGUUAAUCGGAAUUACUGGGCGUAAAGCGCGCGUAGGUGGCUUGAUCAGCCGGUUGUGAAAGCCCCGGGCUCAACCUGGGAACGGCAUCCGGAACUGUCAAGCUAGAGUGCAGGAGAGGAAGGUAGAAUUCCCGGUGUAGCGGUGAAAUGCGUAGAGAUCGGGAGGAAUACCAGUGGCGAAGGCGGCCUUCUGGACUGACACUGACACUGAGGUGCGAAAGCGUGGGUAGCAAACAGGAUUAGAUACCCCUGUAGUC
rnacentral:rRNA from 1 species